GACGAACGCUGGCGGCGUGCUUAACACAUGCAAGUCGAACGGAAAGGCCCUGCUUUUGUGGGGUGCCCGAGUGGCGAACGGGUGAGUAACACGUGAGUAACCUGCCCUUGACUUUGGGAUAACUUCAGGAAACUGGGGCUAAUACCGGAUAGGAGCUCCUGCUGCAUGGUGGGGGUUGGAAAGUUUCGGCGGUUGGGGAUGGACUCGCGGCUUAUCAGCUUGUUGGUGGGGUAGUGGCUUACCAAGGCUUUGACGGGUAGCCGGCCUGAGAGGGUGACCGGCCACAUUGGGACUGGGAUACGGCCCAGACUCCUACGGGAGGCAGCAGUGGGGAAUAUUGCACAAUGGGCGGAAGCCUGAUGCAGCAACGCCGCGUGCGGGAUGACGGCCUUCGGGUUGUAAACCGCUUUCGCCUGUGACGAAGCGUGAGUGACGGUAAUGGGUAAAGAAGCACCGGCUAACUACGUG
rnacentral:rRNA from 1 species